CAAACGGGAUUAGAUACCCCGGUAGUCCAGGGUGUAAACGCUGCCGACUUGGUGUUGGAGGCCCUUCGGGGGCAUUCAGUGCCGGAGAGAAGUUGUUAAGUCGGCUACUUGGGGAGUACGUCCGCAAGGAUGAAACUUAAAGGAAUUGGCGGGGGAGCACCGCAACGGGAGGAGCGUGCGGUUUAAUUGGAUUCAACACCGGAAAACUCACCAAGGGCGACUAUCACAUGAAAGCCAGGCUAACGACCUUGCUUGAUUCUUAGAGAGGUGGUGCAUGGCCGUCGUCAGUUCGUACCGUAAGGCGUUCUCUUAAGUGAG
rnacentral:rRNA from 1 species